GGCUCGGUGGUGUAGUUGGUUAUCACGUCAGUCUAACACGUGUUCCGGCGUUCAGUAUUGUAUACAUGUACUGUACUCCGAAGAAGAACACGGCACACUGAAGGUCCCGAGUUCAAACCUCGGCUGAGUCA